rnacentral:lncRNA from 1 species
CGCUUCCUCUUUUAGAGACGAGCCAGAAGGUUUGCCUUUCCCAUUUGGCCAAUCAGAGUUAGUGAUGACAAAUCUGGUAAGCAUGAUGCGGAUUCAAGACCAGCCGGUCCAUGGCCCUGGAGGAUGAAUUGGGGCUCCAUCAUGCCCAUAAAAUACAAAGGGACAUAGUGCUUUGUUUUAUGCUGCACUCUCAUUAAUUCCUACAAGUCGCAAGAAAGUUCUUGG